UAAGUGUUAUGCAACUAUGUUGCAAUGUGAGCUAUGCGUAUGAAUUAAAAUUUACUUAACUUUUCAAGUGUUAUGGCAAGGUUUUGUCUUACUUAUGCUAUUUUACAUGCAUACAUGUUGAUUUAUGUGCAUAUAUUUGAUAUUUAUGAGUUUUGUAUAAUCUUACGAUUAUACAAUUUACGGUUUUACUUCCCCUUACCGAUCAUGCGUAAAAUCUAGAUUUUGACUACCUUGAAUGAAUCAAUUGUCCCGUCCCUUGUGAUGUAAUCCAAACACAUUCGUAUAGUAACUCCACUUACUAUUUUUAUUUUUUUUGCACAAUCUCCUCUCUACUUUUCGGGAAAGCCUUAAGUAAAAUUGUCAUAGGCUUGUAUUUUUCAUACCAUUGGGAGCCCAAGGAAAAGUUGUAGACCCAAUCACCCAAAGUAACCAAAUCUAUGUAUGCGGGAGGAUACAUGUGAGGGUAUAUGUGUUAGAGUGGGUGAGUGGGGAAGUUAGGCAAUUUGUGAAAUCAUAUCUAUUCUUAUGAUUCCCUCUUGUAUCGACCUUCCUGCUCUAACAUUUUUCUGCUUUCUAAAUCUUUCUGUAACUCUUUCAAGAAGACUAUUUGGUGUUGAUUUUCUUGUUAUUAAUAAAAUAGUACUUCCUGUUCUUCCAAAAUUUGGUUGAAUUGCAAUAUUACACCAAGAUAGUAAGAUACUUCAGUGGAAGGUACUAAAACUUUUUAUUUUAAUAAUAACACAGUGGAAAGUGUAGCCAGAAAAACAAAUAGAGCACAAGAAACCAAUGUUACAUAAUUCUAGUCUAAAUUUUUCCAGCCAACAUCAACUCACUUAAUAAAUAUGAAAAGAUAGAAACUAAAUGAAAAACAUAAAUAAGACUAGGAAUGGAGUCGCAUGUACUAGCCUGCUCCAUUGAGAUGCCUACAGUCUCCAAAACCUUUUGUUGUAUGUCGCGUUUAUAAAUUCUCAAACUCCCCCCUCCAAUCUGACAAAGUAUAAUAUAUUGAGUGAGUAUCAGUCUCAAAAUUGUAAGGCUCGCAAGUUAAAGGGAGAGGAAAGAAAAUAGAAAUUAAUCUCGAUCACCUCCACCCCAUUGUAAACCAUGUCAUAAGCCAAUGCACGAGCCGAUGCAAGGUUGUUCAUGUCUUCAGGAUUUGGUGCAGUGAAAGGAUGAUGAAGAGCCUGCACAAACCCAUAAUUAAGAAUAAUAGAAAACAUAACCAGAUAUCCUAUUUAUUAAGAAAUGCAUUGCUGGAUGUUAUUAAAAGCAAAACUGACCUCAAGCCUCUGCUCCGAAUCAUUCCACUCAAACAUUGGAAAGUCGGUAAUCCACAAAAUUGAAUGUCUGGCCUAAAAUUCAAACAAAAAUAACUAGAUAACAUAAGUGAAAUGAUUAUUGGAGAAAGAUAGAGAAAAAAAUUCAUUUAAAAAGCAGAUACCAACUUACAUGGUCUAUCAAACCUAAUUCAUGAGCCACAUAAACUCUAAGACGAUCUAGAGUUUUAUUUACAGAUGCAUGAUGACCAACUGCAAAUAAAAUCAGAUCACUUGGUCCUGCAGAGCAUCGCCUUAAUAAAUCCUCUCUAGUUGCAGAAUCCAUACUUGAUACUAAAGCAGAAAUUCCCUCAAUAUCCCCUAAAAUCAAAGGAUUACACAAUAAACACAGGAAUAUAACAAACAUCUCUCAAAAUAUCAUAAAAUUGAGUUUUGAUAGGGAAUUGCAAAUUUACCAUUCUCCGUGAUCUUGAGAAAAGGUAAACCCUUUGCACCAGAUUUGUGUGCUUCAUUGUAAAUACCACCAUUUGCACCAGAUUUCUUAAGAACUGAAUUUGAGUACUUUUUUGCACCAGAAGGUACACAAAUUACUUUAAUAACACCACCACACUCCAAGGAAUCAGAUAAAACCUUGAAGGAAGACCCUGAGAAAAUGUCAGAUACCUGCCAGCCAAUGAAAAGUUAUAUCUUAGCAAGAUGAAGCAAAUCUAGGUAAGUUAUGGCAAUACAAACUAAAACACAAGCAGUGAUUCAACACAGGAUUACAGCAAGCUAUAUCAUAGAAACUACCAUAUGCUACAAACCACAAAAGUAAUAUGGAGGAGGUGAAAUAAAGAUCAUUACAUCUUUUAAUUCUAGAUCAAAUCUGGUAUCUGGACGGUCCGAACCAUAUCUAUUCAUUGCUUCAGCAUAUGUAAGCCUGGGGAAAGGGUUUGGUAAUUCCACGCCCUUAAUUUCAAGAAAAACCUGCAAUAAAAACCAACUUCAAAAUUAGCCAUAAUAUACAUGAUGAUUUUUAUGGUUUUCUUUAUGUGAAACCACGUCCACAAAAGAUCUAUAUCAAACAAAAUCUACAAACAUUAACACCUUCCCAUUUCAACAUAUAUCUUUUCUUGAAAUAAGUGAGACUGCAAAUAUCAACACCUGCUUCUAAAUCUUUAAUAGUAUCAUUUGACAUUUCAAAUCACCAAAAGAAGUUAUCAUCUGUUGAUACCUUGUUCCUCCAUUCUAAAUUUUUAUUUAAUAUAUGUUUCCAUUACUUCAAAAUUGUGGAUAAAAUGAAUAUGAUUAUAGAUGGCAUAAACUAACCUUUCUGAUCAACUCUUCAUUAAGAGACAACAUAUCCUCUAAAGGAGUAAAAGCCAUCUCCAUAUCUAGUUGUGUGAACUCAGGUUGUCUAUCAGCUCUUAGAUCUUCAUCCCGAAAACAUCUGUAAAAGGUAAAUUGCAUUUGAUCCAGAAAGAAAAAUGGUCACUUGCAUCACAAUCUUUUUAUUGUAAUUUUGGUUUAGCUUAUAAAAGCAAGCAUUCUGUAUUCUUGGUUUAUGUAAAUCACACAACCAAAUGCUUUUUUUAUGGGAAAAAGGGAAGAGUUUUUACAAACCUCCAUAACAUAAGCCAGGAUACAAAUAACCUUAAAAUAAAUAAAUAAAAUAAAAGAAUAUUAUACCUUGCUACUUGAUAAUAUUUAUCAAAACCAGCUACCAUUAGCAUUUGCUUAAAUAGCUGAGGGCUUUGUGGCAAGGCAUAGAAUGUUCCUUGCUUCGUAAUUCAUGUGACAGAAUCAACAAAACGUAAAAUAAAUUACAUCUCUUAAAAAAUAGAUAAAACAUUCAUAUUGCUUUUCAGCUUAGCAAUGCUCUUCUCAUAAAAGAUGUUAUGCCAAUAAAAUAAAAUAAAAAUUCAGUGGCAUGAUACAAACAACUUACUUAUGAAAAAAUACUACAAUUUUUGCAAUCAUUUCUACACAGUCAAAACACAACAGAUAUAUAUCAAAGGACGGUCCUUUGUGCGCACAUGCACAAGGCAAAUCUGCAUACGUUCUACAUUAAUGCCAUUGAGGUAUAGGUAGUAAAUAUCUUUUGAAGCUGGGAUCAUAAAUCCUGUCAACUACUAAAUUCAACAUUGCAAUAUCCAAUUGACCGUUUGAAAAAACAAUUAAUUGAUCUGAUUAUGCAAAAGAUAAAUCUAAUUGCCUGCAUGAACUUCUGACGAGACCAAUACUUUUAAAGUCUGUCAACUUAUUUGCUCUAUUGUAACUAAAAUCCAUACUAAACAAAGAGAAAGAAAGACUAGUAAAAUGUUAGACAAAUAUAAUGAAAUAACAAUCUCAUGCAAUAGGUGAAAAAAUCUAAAUACCUGGAUUCUUGAUGGAACUAAAUAAUCCCGGGCACCUUCUGGUGUGGAUCUUGACAGUAUUGGAGUUUCAAUCUACCUUAUGAACAAAAAAGGUAAAGAUCAACACAGGAUACCAAAUACCAACAACCGAAGUACGAUGUGCAAUAGACUCAAAAUUUCAAAAGAUGAACCUGCAGGAUAGUACCUCCACAAAACCAUGUAUGUCUUCUAGAUAUCUUCGUAUGAGUUUAACCACAUUAUGCCGCAGCAACAUGUUAGAAUUCAUUUGUUGCCUCCUUAGAUCAAGAUAUCGAUACCUAAAAAUUCUUAAUUGUAAGCAAUAAAUCUCUAAUCUCAACUCGUCAAUAAAUUACAAUUGGAGGUAAGACAAAUGAAAACAUCAACCACAAUCAAACAUGUGUCAGCAGAACAUUCAACCACAUCAUUAAACUUGAUAAAAUAUCAUAAUUUUUACAACCAAAUGAGGAAUUAAUACUAAAAGCAGUCAUUUGGUAAAAAAAAAAAUACCAAAAGCAGUUAUAGAGCAACUUAUAUUAAAACCACACUCAUGCACGAGAUGUACUAGGAUGAAACAAUACAAACAAAAGCCAACCAAGGAGGCAAGCUGGACACAGAACAGACAAAACCAAGAACAAAUCCCCACAAGCAAAAUUUCCAGCAGUAGCACACAAGCAAUACUUGAACAGGCUAAAAAUGUACCUAACUCCUUCGCACCUAACUCAUACAACCAAAGAAAAGCCUCCCACCAGAAUAACUAACAGACUUCACCAAAACUUGAAAUAGUAAGAAAUUCUCCACUUUCAAACUCUAUUUCAAGCUUCAAAAAUAAAAACUCAUCACAGCUUCCACCUAGAUAUGAAUACCUUACAAAGCAAGGACAUGCCUUGCAUAACCUAGACAUUACAGAUUUCAACAAAGGAUACCAUGAAAAACAAAGACAGAAUGCUGGUCUUACCGGUGAAAAACCGUGACAGUAUGCUGAUUGCAGACCGGAACAGCCCAGACCCGUUGAUCUUCAAUAGUUCUAAUUUAAUUUUGAGUAUUGUAAUAUUUUAAAUUGAUCUGUGCUGCAUUAUGUUAUAUCAGUCGGUGUUGAACUUAUGUAUAUUUUUCCUAAUGCUUGCUGUUUAUGUUUUCUGAGUGUAAAAUAAUCAAUUAAUGAUGACUUUUUUUAGGGUACGAGACUAAUGUAAUAGUUGAAUAACUAUUGUGCAACACUAGCUCAAAGUCAUGGCAGUAAAGGAUGAAUAGCACUAGAUCACAAGAUUGAGAACAAAUCAGGGCUGUGUUAGACUAAAAUCUGAUUAGAGUUUUGAAGGCUAUCAAUUAGAAACUCUUUCAGCUCCAUGUAAACUACCUAAUGCAGAGCUAAAGCAUUAGAAAGACACUAUUAACAAACAUUGUGGUCUAAUAAUGAGCAUCAUAUGAUGCUUGGUGAAUAGCAAUAAUGUUGAAUUUUUCUAAGGGUCUGUUUGGGAACGGGGGGUUUGGAGGGCUAAGUCUAUAUUUUGAUAUAUAUUUGGCAUGUUUAAAAAAGUAAAAGAACAUCAUGAUUAAUGAUCAUAUAAUAAUAGUUCAAUCACACUUAAUUGAUUUAAGAAAACAGUUUAUAGUGUUCAUAAUUUAAAAAAGAAAAUGAAGUCCUCCCCUCCUAACCCCUCUAUCCAAAGAGACCCUACAAUUUUUGUUCUGCAAUAAAAUAUGGAUUUUGACAUUUCUACUUUGUUUUGCUUUGGCAUGUGUUUCAGUGAUACCCUCAGUUGAUUAAACUAUGUUUGCCUUAUGAAGCCAGAAAUUGAAGUCGUUAAUAUUACAUGUCUCUAUGUUUUGGAAUUUUGCUCAACUAUAAUUUUAACCUAGGAAUCUAAAACUAAAACACUUACAUAGUACGGAAAAUUCUGAUAGGCUCGGCACAAAAUUAUCGCAUUUGAACUAAAAUUAACGAUAAGUCUGAAAAGAAAUUUAGUAAAUAAAAGACUUAAUAACAUGUAAACAUGAAGAAUGGCAUUGAAAGAAAAAAGCAAUAAAACCUAAAACUAGUGAGAUUGUAACUUGUAUGAGAAACCAAUAUAUAUAUAUAUAUAUAUAUAUAUAAAUAAGCAAUGACAGGAAGACUUACCUCAAACGGACUUCCUCUCUAAGAGAAUCUUUGGCAUGAUCAGUUGUAGUAACUAAGAAUGGUAACUUUGCAUUGACAGAAUUUAAAAGUUGAACAUCAUUAGCAGCAAUCUCGAUGAAGCCGGUUUUGAUCUUGUUGUUGAUUGAUUGAUUUGGACGAGGCCUAACAAUGCCUUGAAUGGCAACCACGUACUCCAAUCUAAGGUUAUUGAUAGCAGAAUGUGCAACAGGAAAUUCAUCUGGAAGUGUUGUAACCUGAACAAUGCCGGUAUGGUCUCUAAGAUUGAGAAAAGUGAGUCCACCAUGGAGUCUGUGAAGUGCAACCCAGCCACAAAGACGAACUGUUUUGCCGAUAUCGUUGGAAGAUAAUUCGCCGCAAUGAUGAGUUCUUGAAACCCAUUGAAGGGGUUCGUUGAGUGUUUCUGUUUCAGAAGGAAGUGGUUGUUGCUGUUGUAUUGAAGCAGAAACAGAAGAAAGGGUUCUGGUUCUGGUUCUGGUUCUGGAAAUUAAAGUUGGAAUGGUUUUGGAAAGUCUAGAGAGAAAGAAAAUUGAUGGGGUCCGUCGAAGGGUCGUCAAAGGUAAUGCUCUAAGGAAUAGAGAAGACAUAUUGUUCUUCUUCUGUUCUGCGUUGAGAAAGGGUUAGUAACAAAAUCAAUUAAUAUUCCAGAAAACCAUAAUUUUGAAGAAUGACCAAGAACUGAGAAGUAGUGGGUUUCGCUAAUCAAGUUUCUGAUAAUACCUUUUCGGAGGCGAUGUGAGAACGGAUGGAUGGAUGGAUAACUCCAACAAAAUUGUUUUUCCGACAAUCAAAACUUCAUUUCCACACAAGUAAAAAAUUCUAAAAUGUCUCCAGCGGCAGUUAACAACUGUUGGGUAAAGCGCCGGCAGUUAACAACCGCUGGCACCAACGGUAGUUAACUGCCGUUCAUACCGGUAAACUAGAUCAGGUUAUCCGGGAGAAUUUUUCUUGUUUUUACAUCCAAUUGCAAAUUAAAGUAAACAGUCAGGAUAUGUCGGGAAAUUAAAACGUACGUGCAAAAUAAUAUUUAACAGAUAAAAUUAAAACACAAGAAAUAAUAUAAAGGUAUGUUGGAAAAUGUCAUAGAAAUACCAAAAUGUACGGAACAUGUCAUAAUUAUACAUCACAGUCAAAAAGUACAUAAAAAAAAGCCUAAUCACAAUCAACCCUACUGCCUAGCAUGCAUCAGCCCCCUGCGCCACCUAGCAAUCUGAUACGUAAGGGCAGGGCGACCGGUACCGGCUAUCCGCAUCACCUCCUGGACAAUCUCCUCUUUAGUCAUCUCGGCUUGCCUGGCCACAAUAUCAUCAGCUAUAUGCACCACAUCCUAGAUGAUCGUCAGUGUGUCAGGCGUCUCCUUGGCAUGCUCCUCCUCUAUGAUUUGCUCCACGUCGUCGGCCUGGGAGGAGAUCCUUCAUCAGGUGGGAGAAUACGAGGGUGAGAGACUUUGGCAUACCAAGUCAUGUAGCCAGGCGAAUGAUGCCAUGGUCUCUCUCACCCAUCUCCCCAAGCAGUGAAUAACCACGCCUGAGCGUCCAUCAACACAGUGGUUAGCAACUGCGUAGGCACCUAAGGGACAUCUGAUGGAUGUCUGGGAACGUCCUGUACAAAGGAUAACUGCCUCUUUACCCGCUCAGGUAAAUGACGGUACACCCUCUCCUUCCCGAACAUGAGCCAUCCCGAGUAAGUGCACAGAAGCUGAAAUGGAUGCACGUCUAUGUGAUCACCAUAAGUAGAAAACUUGACGUCAUCCACCUCCAAGCGAUCCUGGCAUAAGCGGUAAUGGUGCACAUCUUUAUGCCCUCUGCUAGUAAGCCAUCUCCCAACACAUGGUCUCUCCGGCUUCCACCCCAGGUUUGGCUUCCUUGGGUAAGGACCUGGCAAAUGCUCCAAAAUCCAUCCCUGCAACAAAAUAAAUAAUACACAACAUUAAUUAUUCGAGUUAAAUAUUCAAUGAAUCUAAAACAUUAUAAAAUAAUCUAACAUAAUAAUAAAAUUUAUAAAAUAAAUUCAUAAAGAAAUUAAGAUAAAUAUUAAAUUAUUACCAUAAAAAGAGUCGUACAAAUCAGCCAUCGUUCUGUUAUUCAGGAUAACAGAAUCAUCCAGAUAAUCGUACAAGUAAGCUAAGGUCAUCCCUCCCCAUGACCACUUCCCAAUCGCCUGCAAGUCCGCCGUGCAAUCAAGAUAUAUCAAGUCGAUGUGUAUGUUCGUUUUGUUAGUGAACAGCGCACAACCGACGAGAUAUAGAAGGAAACUCCUCACACACCACACCCUCCUCCUGCCUCUCUCCUGCAGCUCCUCCCUCAUUUGUGGCUCCUCAAGCCGUCCAGCCUCUGUCAGGUGGUCCUCAUAUACCCGCUUCGGUGAGGGAUAACUGAUAUGACCAGCAGAUUGAUUCUUAACCUCAGCCCUAGCAUCAGCAUCUGACAUGUCCAACAACCUGGUCAUCAAAUCAAUCGAAAGGUCUUGAUCCAUUGCCUCGUCGUGCUCCAGUAUGCGGCCGUGAAUAGGAAUGUGUAGGAGAUUAUGCACAUCGUCCAAAGUGAUCGUCAUCUCCCCCACAGGUAGAUUAAAACUACUGGUCUCCGUGUGCCACCUCUCAUAGAGAGCACGUAUCAUGGCAUGGGUCACAGUUGAAUACCCAGUGUAUAUCAAAUCAUGUAGGCCAGACCCCUCCACAUGCUCCUAAAACCACCUCAAACCCGCCUCCGGUUUAUCAAGCUCUUUCAUCUUUUCCCUGCAUUUAUACUCUUGUAACCCACUUCAUCAUACCACAUCUGAAAUUCAAAUUAAUUAAGACAUUGUCACUAUUUUAAAUAAUUCAAACUCUUACGCUACAUAAUAUUAAAUAAUUAAAUCACUUACGCUACAUUAUUUUAAAUAAUUAAAAUCACUUACGCUACAUAAUAUUAAAUAAUUGAAACACUUACGCUACAUAAUAUUAAAUAAUUAAAUCACUUACGCUACAUUAUUUUAAAUAAUUAAAUCAUUACGCUUCAUAAUAUUAAAUAAUUAAAACACUUACGCUACAUAAUAUUAAAUAAUUAAAACACUUACGCUACAUUAUUUUAAAUAAUCACUUUAAAUCAUUUAAAGAAUUUUAAACAAUUUAAACACUUACAUUAUGAUGGUUCAUCCAAAGAGGGUUCGCCAUGUGCCUCGCGUAGUCGGACAACAGUGACAUGGUCUCAGGUCCUCUAGGAAAGGGAGGCCCUCCAACAGGAUACGACAGUAUCAACGGAACACGACAACGUCGUGGCUGAGUCUGAGGCUCAGGCUCACCCUCAGGAACUAGAUUAUCUGCCUCAAGAUAAUCCUCCACAACAUCAUGUGGCACCCCCUCAUCAUCUCUCACCUCCUCAUCCUCUGCCUCGUCCUGCGGUGACUGAAAAAACAUUCUCUCCUCCUCCAUCCGAUCAUAUCCAACAAAACCCUCAUCCGCAUACCCAACAUAAUCAUGCGCUGGUGUCGGAUCAACCACCUGGGAGGAGUAAUCCACCUGUGCCUGUGAGCCCUCUCCAUAUAUCCUCGGGUCCCUGCGCUUCCGAGUCUUAUGGACAUACGGGUUUUGAUCCCCCUUUUCUCUCCGAGGCUAGCGGUACUCGCCACUUUACCUUUCCGCAUCCUAUCAUCUCUAAUAACCCGUUACUUCUCAUCCAUAUCCCUAGCCAUAUCUGUACAAAACAAAUUUAAAAAAACAUAAAUACGUGGAACAAUGGUUCUAACCUAAUCUAACUUAUGUAUUCAUCAAACCUAAUCUAACUACAUUAUCCUAAUCUAACUUAUGCAUUCAUCAAAUCUAAUCUAACUACAUUAUCACAUUAUGGUUAUUCUACAUUAUGGUUAUCAUUAUGCCAAAAUUAUGGAGCAAUGUUCUAGCCCUUACAUUAUCACAAAUUAAACUUAAGCAUAUAUGAUAAAUUAAACUUAGGCAUUCAUAAAAUUUAAUAUAACACAUUCGUCAAACUUUAUGUAACAUACCACAUUAUGUCAUUCAUCAAACUUGCCAAAAAAACAAACUUAUAAACAUCAUAACAUAUAUGCAUUACACAAAUAUACGGUUAUUAUAUCAUUAUGUCCAAACUAAUCAAACUUGCCAAAAAAAAAAAAAAAAUGCAAACUUAUAAUCAUUAUAACAUACAUACAUUAUAAAAUUGAACAUAUUUGCAAAAAUAUUACACAAAAAGAGCAAGAUUUUCUCACUUAGGCAUUUCAUCAAACACCUUUUGUGCGUUUCAAAAUACUAGCACAAUUGGUGUUAAUUCAACUACAUUGUACCUAAACCUACUCUAAACAACAAUGCCAACAAAAACCCUACAUUAUAACAUCAAAUUCUAACAUAAUUUUCAAUUUCAAAAACCUAACCUAAACACUAAAGUUUUGCUAAAACUAUGAAAACUAACACCCUAAACAACCUACAUUGCAUGUAAAUAGGAAGAAAAUAACUUACUUGUUAAUUACUUGAAGAAAGUUGGCUCAAAUCCGUGCAAUUGAAGUUGGGAUGAAGUUGGUUUUGUGUUGUUUUGAACUUGUAACCAGAAACUGGAAGUUUUCUGCGUUCUUAAAAUACAUAAUGCAGCGAUAGUUAACUACCGCUGGGACCAACGGCAGUUAACUGCCGACGGUUUCUUCAAUGGUAGUUAACUACCGCCAGGGGCCCCAACGUAAUUUACUUGUGGCAAUGUGAAAUUUCUUAUGUCAAAAAAGCAAUUUUCUAACUCCAGCGUCGUCGUCACUCUUCUGAUAUGUUGCUUUACAAGCCCAUUUUCUUAUCUUAUAUUUUCAAUUUCAGAAUUUCUUUUUCCACCCUCCAACUUUCUUGUACGCGAUCAUUUUGAAUUUAUAAAAUCCAACGGAAUGAAAAGUUUUUAAGGAUGAUGUUCCAAUCUUAGGUAGUGAAGACUCCAAAAGUAGUAUUUAUAAAUGAAUUUACAUUUACCCUCUUCUAAGAAUACUAUCAAGGUUUAAAUCUAAAUGGUGUGUUUGGAUUGAGGGUUUAGAAGGGAAAAAGAGGAGAGGGUGUUUUUUCAAGUCUAAGGUUGCUAACAUGUAACUCUAAUGAUUUUGAAAUUAUCUAAUUUACAACGAAUGAAAUGAAUUUACAUUUACCCUCUUCUAAGAAUUUAAAACUGAAUUCAAGUCUUUUUUUUUUACCGCAAAACAAAAUUCUUAGAGGUACAUGCUAGCAAUGACUUGUUCACUCAUUUCAUUCGUUGUAACUUAGAUAAUUUCAAAAUUAUUGGAGACGUGUAUCUAAGAAAAAUAUGAUUAUAAUCAUCCACCCCUUAAUAUUGUAUACCAAUGUGGUACUUCUAUGUGGUGAUGGUGGUUUUUAGAUUUCAUAAUUUCAACUAUGUUAUAUUAGUUUCAAUAACAUAGUUUCAAAUUAUAAAAUCUAAAAUGUGUCAAUAACAUAACAUAACAGUUGCAAAUUCAAUUAAUAAAAAUGACAUAAUUUAAAAUUGAAAACACAAUUUUAUAAUAUAUUUACAUAACAUCAUCAUCAUAUUCUCUUAAUGUGGUCAACAUUAUUGUGACCUAGAAUAACAUUAAAACUGAAUUUCAAUUAGCAAUUUAGUUUGCUCAUGAUAUGAGUUUUGUAAACAUUACUAUAUAGGGUGUUUCUCUUAAUAUAGUCAACACUUUGAAACCAUCUUUUACAACAUUCUAACUUUGGCUUUGAUAUUGUAAGUGUUUUAGUUUCUCGUGUUAGAAGAACUGGUAAUGCUCAUUCUCAUUCUAAGUUUGCUUUAGUUUCAAUUGAUUAUGUUUGAAUCGAAAAAUUUGUCACAACCAAUUUGAUUCACUUUUAUUUGAAAUCGAUUUUCAACCAAAAAAAAAAAAAAAAACUUAUCCAAAUCGAGUCCAUUUUUAUUUUAUGAUGUAGACCCGCAAAUGAAUAAAUUUGCAUCCCUAUUAAAAAAAACAAACUUAAUAUAUUUUUUGUUGACAGGAGCAACAUUAAUAUUUUCCUUUAGGGACCAUAAACAACACUAUUUCGUCUCGUAUCUCUUGCUAGCAGAGCAACCAUUAAUUAACAAGGUGUUCACGAGGGGAAGAUUACAAACUAAAAGUGUCGUUUUUGUAUGUGGCCUUUUUUUUAUGCCAAAUAAAUAAAUAAAUAACUAUGGAGAUGGUUAAUUUGUCACACUCUCACUAGUCACCACCUACUUAGUUUCCAGUCUUUUCGUUCGCUUCACGGGAUGCCAAUGUCUCCAAACUCAAUUCCAAAACUUCACAUAAAAUAAGCCAAACAAUUUCCCAACCUUGUCUACAGUUGUCAUUUUCAUAACUAUUUCUUGAAGGUUGAUCAUGCAAUUUAUCUAUCUGGGUGAAAGAUGUUACGGGUUAAUGUGGUUUACAUUUUUAGGGACAUACAUUCACAUCUCGUGAGGGAGUGAAAAAGUUGAUACCCUAACAAUUCGAUAUGUUACUCUUUUUCUUUUCUUUUUUUGAGGAAAGAUGCAUUACUCAUUGUUUUUUUUUUUUUUCUUUCUUAAAUACGUUACUCAUUGUUAUUCAUCAAGAUUCAACUUAAUUUCCGUUGGUUGAUAUCCAUAACAAAUUGAUAUAUCAUAAACUAUAAACCCACCAAACAAGUAACAUUUGAAAAAACUUUAUAAACACCUCUACUUAAUUAUGAAAUGAUUAUUAUCAAACACCUCUAGUUAGUGUAUGUUUAAUUUUGAGUUAAAUGAUUCUAGAUAAAAUUAAGUUUUUUUUUUUCCGACAAUGAUAAAAUUAAGUUGAAUGUUUAUAUACAACUAAUUUUAACAUGAAAUUUAAAACUAAAAUAAACUCUAGAAGUCAAAAACUACAAAUUUUUGUUCAUAGAAUCAACUUUACAAACAAAAUCAAUUGUCUUUUUGAUCAUCCAAACACGAUAAAAUCAAUUUUGCAACAUCUAGAAUUAUUUUUUACCACCAAAAUUAAAACCAAACAUAUGCUUAUUCAUGCUAACUUAUAUAUGAUAAACUAACCAUUAAAUUAGAUAGCAUUUUCGUGAUGUCAAAGAGAGCCAUAGUGUAUUACUAUAGUCAAUUGGAUUCUAUAUUUGUAAGAUUGAUUAGACUACCAUAAUUUCUUAUCAAACAAAAAGUUGUGACUGCAGGUCCCCUGUCUCAUUCAUAUCUUCAUGCCAUGCGUUUUUAUAUUAGUAUUUUUUUUAAAUGAUCGAUAAAAAAAAAUAAAAAAAAAAAAAAGUUGAACAAACAUCAUAAUUGAAUUGAAAAGGAAAAUAUUUGUGCAUGGAAACAUUAUCAAGAAGGUAUCAAUCAUAGACAUCCAAAUCAAUAAAAAAAAUAGUGGAAUCCAAUUGAUAAAAUUUUACGUGGUCCCUCCAAAUCAUGUCAUUGCAUUAUAUGGUUGAAGAAAAUAUCCCUGAAAUUCUAUAAUGAUGAUAAUCAUAAGAGCAAAUUGUUUAUGCUUGCAAUUUUCCAUCCUAUUAUAUCAAUAGUAACUUGCAAGUGAAUUUCACUUGCCCAAGAUCAUCAUUACAUGUUAUAUGUCCAGAAGUUUGAGUAUAUGUCUGAUCAAUCUCAGCUAUAUAUUCCCGAGUCAAGUAAAGGAAUAGCAAAUUUUCCAGCUAACUCAAGUCCAAAUUAAUAUUGUUAGAAAAUAAACAAACUUUAUUCUAUGAGUGUUGUAGCAAUGGCGACUGUUAAACAAGACGAACUAUAAUAAUUCGAAUAUUCAUCAUGCAUGGGACCUCCCUCCCCAUCUCAUUAAAUAAACAAUAGGAUAAAUUACAUUUUUUUAUCCUUUUGAGCACCUUCAAUGGUGCAACCCAAAUGUAUAGUUUAGUGGAGUCUACAUUGCCACGUUAUCUUAAAGAACCACAUUCAUGUUUUGCUUCAAUGGUACAACUUUUUUUUAAUAGACGAGAUGUCAAAGCCAGCAUAAACUUACACACAUAAAGUGGAGGUAUCAGAGUUCGAACCCUAAUCAUGACGUUCAGCAUAAUAAUUUCAGUAUCUUUUACGAGUUGAGCUAGAACUUAUGGACAACUAUACAACUUUUAAAUACUUAUAUCGGAUCUACCAACUUUAACUCACUUAUUUAUAUUGUAUUCAUAUUUAUUUUAUUACAAUUCACAUUUUAAUAUUGUAACUUUCAUUGAGAAAUGUGUCACAAAAAAUGACAACAUACUCCAAUAGUAAACAAGUUCAAAAUUGAGUCCGCUUCUUAAAAAUCUAACCAAGAACCUCCCGUUGAUGGUGAGAUUAUUUAGGUUUUAUUUUGAUCUCUUAAGUUGUUUCUAUUCUAUUUUGACCUAUUAAAUAACAAAUGCCCAGUCAUUGAGCUGUGUUUUUUAGGACUUCUCACUAUCUAUAUUCUAUAUGAGGAAGUAUUAAUGGUAAGCUAUAAAAAUAACAACUUACUCCAAUAGUAAAGAAGUUCAAAAUUGAGUUCGCUUCUUAAAAAUCUAACCAAGAAUCUCCCGUUGAUGGUGAGAUUAUUUUAGGUUUUAUUUUGAUCUCUUAAGUUGUUUCUAUUCUAUUUUGACCUAUUAAAUAACAAAUGCCCAGUCAUUGAGCUGUGUUUUUUAGGACUUCUCACUAUCUAUAUUCUAUAUGAGGAAGUAUUAAUGGUAAGCUAUAAAAAUGAAGGAUCAUAUUCCUUAAAAGCAAAUGAAGGAUCAUUAAGGAACAUGGUAGAAAAUACUUGAGAUGAUCGAUAAGAAUUCGCAAAUUGUAAUCCUAAUAAACCAAUAAUACUCUCUCUUUUUCUUUUUAUAAAAGCAUGCAACAAAAAUCGUUGUUAUUAAAAAAUAAUUAAAUAUGGUUUUUUGUUCAUAUAAAUAUUUUAUUUUUUCGUUAUAGUUUCUCUAAAAAGAUUAUUUUUGGUCGUCAAAAAAUAUACAUUGUCACUUUUAAUGUAUACUUUUGAGUCAAGUAAUAUGUAAUACUCUCUCCGUCCCAUAUUAGAUGAUCUAGUUGACUCCGACACACGUAUCAAUGCAUAUGUUUUAUCUUUGAAAUCUUCAAUUCUCUACUAAAAAAAAUUAUGAAAAUUUAAUAUUUUAAAAAUAUUCAUUAAGACGAAUUCAACAUCUUACAUGAUAUUAUUUAUCUUUGUGAAUUAGUAGAAAAAUAUGGUGAAAGUAUGUUAAGUCAACAAUGUAUAUUGUCAAAUAGGUCAUCUAUUGAAGGACGGAGAGAUACUAUUUAAAAUUUUAAAUGAUUUUUUAUAAGAAUAUUUAGAAUAUUAUAAGAUAGCAUAUAGUUUGUUGGCAUCGAGUAACUAUCUACGUUGUUGUUUAGAAAUUCUAACUCAACUGUCAAAUACCGAAAUUGUAAAGAUUGGAUGUCGUGACCCGAAUUCGAACCUGAGACUUCACAGUUGUGUGUAAGUUUAAUUUCAUUGAAUUACUACUUCAUAUAAGACAAAAAAAACUAUGUACCUUGUUUUUUUUAGACAUGGGUUAGUACGCAAAUAUUAACCAUCAACAUCCUUAAACAGACGAAAUUACACCUCAAAAAUUGAUACCAAACAGCUCUAAGGAAUAAAAUUAUCUUUGGUUAAGAUUGUGGUGGACAAAGACAGACUUUUCAAAGCAGUUUAAUUAUGAAAAGGAAAAUUUGAGUGGGUUCCUCCUAAUGAUACCAACUUGAAAUCAAAUUAAAGUAAAGUUAAGAUAAUUAUGUCAUUGAAAAUAAGUUUAUAAGAUCGUUUCACUCAAAGGUAACAUUAAAGUGAAUGCUUUAAUAUCGUUUUUCAUCUACAGUUAUUACCUUGAAUGAAAUAAAUAAAUAACACAAUUUAGAGUGGCUCUAAUUAAAGAAAGAUUGAAACGCCUUUACCUUCAAACGAUACGAUACAUUUUAAAUUGUGGCUUCUUUUCCGUAUAUAUACACACUUCAUAUAUUCAUGCUCAGAAGUCUCGUGAAGAAGCCCACAUGCGAUUGUUUUUUCUUGCUACCAAGUAACAACAAAGCUAUAACCAAAACCAUAAUAAUAAUUUACAUUCACCAUUCACAUUUCACGUCUUUCUCGUUCACACUACACUUUAAUUAACUCAACUCAACUCAACAAUAAUUCUGAAAUUGGAAGAAAAAAAGUAAUAAUAAUCAAAUCAAACGGUCACAAAUUGAUCGAUCAAUUCAAGGCAUUCCUUUUUGUGCGUAACCAUUAACAAGUGCCAAAGCAUUACUCGUCAACUUUUUCACCUUUGAGACACGAUUCUGUACAUCCGCUUUCACCGGACAAUCUUCUACAUCUUGAAAUCCAUCCGUACAUGUUUCUUCAUCAGUAAGCGCCGCACUCAUCCACGUCUGCACGUUACUCAUCUGAAACAGAAACGAAUCUGCUCCGGCACCGGCGCCAGUUCCGGCGGCUCCAAUCUGCCGCAUCUGUUUAAGCGAACCACGGAUUUCAUCAACAGCAUCGUCAAGAUUUGAGAAACAGUCAUGGAGAGCGAGUGUGGCGCGUGAACUACCGCUGUAAUCUGCUUCGCGAGUGAGAUUGGAGAGAUAAGAGGCAGUUCGGUGGACUUUGGAGAAGCUUACGGCUAUGGCGAUGCGAGCGAGUUGGCCAGGAUUCUGUUGAACUGCAUUGGCGUAACGAGAGAGGGAAGUGUAGCAUAUGUCAGGGUAGAGUGUUGCGUUGCAACUUGAACGGAUGAAUUCGGCGUCGUCGUUGGUGGUGGUCGGAGGUUCUGCUCCGGUGGCGGUUGUCGAACGGAGAUUGGAGAAUGUGGCUGCGAAGAAGAGGAUUGAUAAUAGGAGGAAACUGUGAGAGCAUUGGGUUGUCAUUGUUGCUAACUGUUUUUCUUUUGUUUUUAUAUUUUGUGCGUUUGUGACUGUGUAGGGCGAGUUCUAAAUGGCGAGGGUUUUGUAGGCAAUAAUUUUUGGUAAAUUACUUCAUGGUCGCUAGCUUUUGGUUUAAUAUCCACAAUGCCAUUAUAUAAUUUUAUAAUUAUUUUUAUUUUUAUUGUUUUUUUACAAUAACUUAUAUUUCUUUUCUUUUGUUUGUCAAAUAAUAUACCAAACCAAACACAUCUUAUGCAUAUCAAGAUCCUUAUUAAAAAAUGUCGGAAUUGUUGGCUCAUAUGUGGUAAUUCAGGAUUAAACCUCAGCUCUUCCAUACAUGUGUGAAUAUUCGAUGACUAUUAUUCGUCUAGCUAAAAAAGUAUUUAGUUUAGCUUUGGUUUUUCAAUUUUAUUCAACGUGCACCAAAAGAACUAUAUCUAAUAUAUGAUGGAUUUAAUUGUUAUUAGAUGUUUGUUUGGAUCGACUAUAUGUUUUGCAAAAUUGCAAUAGUUUUUUAGUGUAGUUUUGUCAAAAUUGAGGUAGCUCUUUCA
rnacentral:lncRNA from 1 species